rnacentral:rRNA from 1 species
ACAGAGGGUGCAAACGUUGUUCGGAAUUACUGGGCGUAAAGCGCGUGUAGGCUGCUUGGAAAGUCGGAUGUGAAAGCCCUGGGCUCAACCUAGGAAGUGCAUUCGAAACUUCCAAGCUCGAGUUUCGGAGAGGAAGGCGGAAUUCUCGGUGUAGAGGUGAAAUUCGUAGAUAUCGAGAGGAACACCGGUGGCGAAGGCGGCCUUCUGGACGAUGACUGACGCUGAGACGCGAAAGCGUGGGGAGCAAACAGGAUUAGAUACCCUGGUAGUCCACGCCGUAAACGAUGGGUGCUAGGUGUCGCGGGCUUUGACCCCUGCGGUGCCGUAGCUAACGCAUUAAGCACCCCGCCUGGGGAGUACGGCCGCAAGGCUA